UACAGCUGCUAGGCAGCACAAAUAAGUAUCUUUUUAGUUUCCUUUCUUUUAAGUUAACAGCCAAAAACAAUUUUUUUUAAAAAAGAAAAAAAAAUGGUGUUUUUUUAAAGUAGUCUUUAUCAGUUUAUGGAAAACACUUAAGUAAUUCCUAGAAACUGUAUUUCUUUUGCGUAAAAUUCUUUCCUGGCUCUGAUGAGGACACUUAUAUUUACCUUACUGGCAAAGAAGAAGUUUUAAUUAAAGAAUAUGUUUAAAGUCCUGCUAAGCCUCUAAAUGAUAUGCCAGAAAGUGGUGUGUGAAAAUUAUCACAUCACCCUUGUAUUAUAACAGUUACCUAUGCAGAUGUGUGUGAAUGGGUUGUAAAGUCAAGUAGAAAAAUACCAAAAUCAAAGUAGUUAUUGUAAUGAAAGAUAUCACAGAAUUUGGUGUUUUUAGUCCUGCUUCCCUUUGGUGCAUGACUCAGAGGGAGAAAUCUGUGUGAGUGUGGAUGGAUAUGGAACUGAAAUUCACUCAGUCUUUUAGGUCUGAUACAGCAGCUGCACAAGGCUUUUUUUUGUCCAUGACUUAAGCACUCCACUAUCUUGAGAACACAGCUGGGGAUAGGAAUGCUUAACAAGUAAGUUUGCCUGCCUGGGUGUAAAGGGCCAGUAGUUUACUGGAUCCCUAAAAGAUUAGUGUAAUCCCCAACUGCUACCACCACAUCCAAGCAAAAACUUAAGAAGUUCCCUUUGCUUUUGUUAAUUUUAACUGAACAGUAGGUUUCUUUCCUUUCCUGAUAGUGCAGAAGUCUUCAUUUGCCAUUUGUAGCAUCACAGGUAAUCAAUCAGAGUUCAGCACACUUGCAGCAUAAGUGAGAGUUAAGAGUGGGUUAGGUUAUUGGAAUCCUGUGUGUUUUUGCUUGCUGUUCCUCUCUGGUCUUUGGUUCUGUGGAUCACUUUUCCUUGACUAAUAUGGUUGUAGACUAUUAUCUGACUUUCUAAAUGACCAAAUUACUUUAAACAUGCGACAGGAAAAAAAUUUAAGCUUGCUUCAAAUCCUCUGUUUUACAAAUAAUCAGAAAUAGCAGUUUGCUUUUUAGGUAAAACUAAUUUUAAUAAAUACAUGAAUAUAAGAAAUCCAUAACUUACUUAUUCAGCAAGUAUUUGUUGUAUCCUCAUAUGCCUCACCCUUGGUUAGGCACCAGGGUAACAGUUACCUGGACAGAUACUAUUGCUUCUCUAAAAAAGUGUGCAUCCUAAUAGGGAACAAGUCCUGCUGAGAUCCUCAAGAGUACUUAUUUCUUAUUCACUGCCAAGUAAAUAAAAGGAAAUAUGAAAUGCUUCUAGUUUCAACUUUCUUUUUGGUGGACAGUUUCAUAGAUGUUGUUUUGAAAAACAUAACUAAUCGUAAAAUUUUAAUUUUUGGUACAGUCUUACCACCCACCCACCCCACCCCCCAAAAAAAAGAGAGAGUUAACUUUGAGGUAAAACACAUUAGUAUUAAUGAAUGAGUUGGCCAGGGGAACAGUAGUGCAAGGUCACCAUCUUCAGAAUGGUUGUUAGAGAUCUAGUUCCUUCCUGUCCUUGUUGUCACCCUCACUAGUGCCCACCUACCAAGUUCAUAGGGCUCAGCUGGCGCUGGGUUGGGCCAGGGCCCAGUGAAUACAAUGGACAGAAGGUGUUCCUUACCUUUAUGUAUUUAAUGAAUUUACAUAUUGUUAAGCAUUACGUAUUUGUGGGAACUUACAUGCUACUAAAACUCCCACUGGAUUUCAGUUUCCAGUGCAGCAGAGCUACUUAUUCACAAUAGCCUUGUUAAAGUCAACUCUUGACAUAAAAGUUUAUAAAAACAAAAAUAGAAAAAAUACAAUAAAAUGAAAUACUCUAGCUACUUAAAGAUCUUGACUCUUUUGGAAAACAUACUAACUUUAUGCUAGAAAUUCUUGAGAGUGUAAUAAUUUGUUUCUUAUCACAUUUCUCUCUUUAUAGCCUGAUAAUCCAGCUGCAGAGUUUUUGGGGUAGUUAAUAGUUCCUCAGACAGCUAAUGCUUUAAAAAUAUGUGUGUGAUGUCUGAGUGUGUGAAGAUAGAGAAAGCAUACUUUUAUACGAUUCGACUCUUGGACUCAAAUUUGAAAUCAUGCAGGGACAUACUGCUUAACUAAACUGCCCUCUAAUUCUCUACUAUUUAUAUCAGAGAAUAUAUAUAUAUAUUUAUAUCAGAAAAUAUAUAUAUAUUUAAAACUUUAAAAAAAAUUCCUGUUCACACCAUUUGUGCUGUGUUCUGAAAGUAGUAUGUAACUGUAUCAAAAUCACAUCACUCGUAAUCAAGAAUUAAUUAUUCUUUGCUGAUGCUGGAAUAAUAAUUGAAAUCAAGACAUCCCAAUUAAGGAAUGACAGAUUGAGAAAUUAUUCUGUGUUCCCUUUAGAUUUUUCUGUAGUUCAGAGAGAUGAGGAAGAACCUAGGCUGAGGACUUUAUAUUUAACCAAAUAACUAUAGUUCGAACUUGCCCUCAUCACUGAACCAGCUGCUGCUGUGAGAAAUACACACUCAACUCUUAAAGGACCUCUGGCAUGCAGACUACUUGCAAAUGGUUUAGAAAAGAAAGAGAGA